rnacentral:lncRNA from 8 species
CAAUUGACCACAACUCCAUGUCCUUUAUAACCUAAACUUUUAUAACCCAGAAUCAGGUCAUCCAAAUAUAAUCCCUAACCCCAACUACAGUUUGUAAAAAGUGGUACUGACUCAAAAUCAGACUCAUCUACUGUAAUCCUGACCUCAACCCAUCAGUGUUAAAAAGUCAUGAUGGAUCCGGAAUCAUUUUACCUCACCCUAAUCCAGACCACAGCCACUUUGUGUGCCACUGACAAUCGUUGAGUAUGUUUGGUUUACACCCCUUGGCACAUUGAGGCAAAGGAGAGCUCCCCCCUACUACCGCCUCCCUCCUUUCUCUCUUCCCCCACCCCUCACUCCCUCCCCUAUCCCACACACUCACACACCACGUUCAUUCAGAGCCCAGUUUGGAGUCUGAUCACUCACUCUCACUCUCUCUGUCUGGAGCAACAUGCACAGGCUGACCCACUACCGCUUUCUCUUGGUCUGCUUGACUGGAGUGCUGCUGUUGCUACCUCUCUGCUGGGGCCAAAAUGAAUAUGAUGACUACGGUGACACAACGCCGACAUCGGACUACGACUACAAUGCCACCUUUGAAUACACCUUUUUCAGUAACACUAGUACUGAGGACCUGGACAAGUUUCUAAGUGGAAGUGAAGAGGAGGAUGAUAAGGGAGAAGAUAUGGAGGAAGAGGAAGACACAACCUUCUCGACCGCUAUGUCGACCACAGUCAGCAGCAGAGUCACGGCGAAGGUAUCCCAUCAUAUUGCUGCAGUCGUUUGUGUCUGAUUAGACUCCCUUUUAUCUCCCAAAUGAAAGGUCUAUCAUAUAUAGUUGACCUUUGAGUCAUAUAUGGUUGACCUUUGAGUCAUAUAUGGUUGACCUUUGAGUCAUAUAUGGUUGACCUUUGAGUCAUAUAUAGUUGACCUUUGAGUCAUAUAUAGUUGACCUUUGAGUCAUUUAUGGUUGACCUUUGAGUCAUAUGUCUUUUAAGAUGGAGGCUUAAACCAAAAUCCGCAUACCUCUGCCCUGAGAACACUGAUGUCACACUGACCUGUUCCAUGCUUGCGGAAGUUACGAGGAUGGUUACUUGUGUUUUACGUGGGUGUGUGGAUUACCCAGGGGCAAACCAGCACUGGAGAGAUUUGAUGGGUUCAUUUGGAACAGUAAAAUUACUAGGAAUCACAGCAAUUUUUGGAGCCACUUCUCCUGCUAUUUCCACUACAGUAUUGUGUUUUCGUUCAUUUCAAAUAAACAGCAUUUCUACAUCCAAAUCUUAACUGGCAGCAAGAACAAACUAUGACAACCCACUUUUGUUGAGUUAACCUAGUCCUAUUUCAAAAUGAGUGGAUAGCUUUACCAAAAUGAUAACUGUACUUGGUUAUUAAACAUUUUAAGUCCUUAGACAGGCAUACUUUCCC